GAGAGCAUAGCUCAGUUGGUAGAGCAACGCCCUUUUAAGGCGUGGGCCCUGGGUUCGAGUCCCAGUGCUCUCA
rnacentral:tRNA from 1 species